UAUAUAUAUAUAAUGCCUGCUUGAGGGAGCAUUUGAGUGUUGUUGUUUUUUUUUUUUUAUUUUUGGUGGUUUCCUUGGUGGGGCAGGAAUUCUAAACUCACAUAAAUCAGGUGGAGAGAAACACAAGAGGAACCUUUACACCCCUGGACCUGUCCUGAUCCUUCACCCUGAACACACAAGUAUACCUGACGGCAUCUAACAGGCACCAUUUGACAAACAACAGGUUCCUUCAGGACUAUGAUAGGUGCAUUGCUGAUACCACCUACGAAGCAGGAGCUACGGUCCCCACCAUUGAGUUAAAUGCAGGAGCUAUGCUGAGUCAAGCAAAAAAAACAAAAAACCUUGAGCUCCCUUGAGCACCCAAGAAGAAAUGUCUUUACAAAUUGAUUUAUGUAUUACCAACCUCGCCAGUGGCCUCUGAACCAUCCAUUAAGAUACCACACGCUGCAGCCGCUAAGCCGACAGAACAGGAGGAGAAACCUUUCAGUGGUGGGGGGGACGGCUAGGAGAAGUGGUAGAGGAAGCUUAGCUCGUCAAUUCAAAUCCAGAUCUCUCAAUCUCUGGAUGACUAAAACUAUAAAAUUAGAUCUGUUUCCAAGUGGUGCAACAGAAACCCAUUCAACCUAUUGUCAGGAGAUCACUGGUGCCGCAUCCAUGGCUGGGAAUCCAAGACAGCAAAAUUGGCCGUGCUGUCUGUGUGGGCGGGAUGGCAUACUCUAUCCCCUGUCAAUCAGAGCAACACUAACCAAUCUUGGGUGUCUGUGUGGUUUACAGGGCAGUUAGCACUGUCCUCCAAGUGUGUACAGCCACCCUGUGACAUAACAUGAGCAACAGUUCAAAAAGAUGGAGGGAGGAAGGAGGAUUAGGAAGCACUUUACCCUUUACCCUAACUGGCCGGCAGCUGAUGUGGGAAUUGGCAAAUGACCAAAUUGGAAGAAAAUGGAGUAAAACAGAUUAAAAAAAAAAAAAAAACUGAGAAUGGAACUGUAUUCAGUGAAAAGACGUAGCCAAUCUGAACUAGUUCAAGUUUUAUCACACUACAUCCAACAAAUCAAACUAGCUUCCUGUAUGAAAACACUGUCUGUGGCUCCUUCUGUUUGAGAAGCGGAGCGCAUGAAUACUGCGGAUAAGUUCAGAACUAGUUCUGCAUACAAAGAACCCUCAUAAUUGAGAGAGAGAGAGAGAGAGAGAGAGAGAGAGAGAGAGAGAGAGAGAGAGAGAAAGCAUAGUCUCAUGAAUGCAAAUUUGUAAUAACUCACACUAGUGUAAAAGUUGCAGAUUCGAGAUUAAAAUUUGAGUCAUUUCAGCGUCCCAUUUUUGUACACUUUUCUGGCCACAAGCUUCAGAAUCUUGAGAGUUGCAUUCUGAUUGGUUCUCCAUACUUCCAUGUGCUGGUUUCCAGCAUGAAAACACUGCAGCACUGCAAUAAGCUUUUCAAAGCAAGAUAUAAUGGCUGGACUGAAAACCGUUCCCGUCUUCAAAAGAAUUGUGAAGUUUGAAGCACAUUGUGAUGAUUACACAUGAUAAUCUAGUGUGUUUGCCAACAGGCUAUGGGACGAGAUCUGUGGUUGGUCAGCUGCCAUGUCAUGUUUCUGUGAAAGUAGAUGGUUCUUGGCCACAUUUAUUGACAGAGUUUACCAUACUCUCUAGCUAAAAGUCUGGCAUGUGAGAUUAAAGUAAGGGUGAGUGGAGGAACUUAGCAGUCAUAGCCUUUAUUAUGAACUUCAUUUGAUUAAGAGCAUACUCUGCUUAAUUGCCUCCUUAGUAAAGCUCUCAGUAUCUAAUAACUAAUAAACAGAAUGUCAACACUAUAAUACUGACUAUUGAGGACAGUUAAGGAAACCACAAUCUCCUUUAGCUAGAAAUUUGAACAAGACGACAUACAUACGUGGCAACAGUAGACCCCAGAAAAAAAAAUAGAAAUGGCUGGGUGCAAAGUGAACCCAGAAGUACCGGAUGAUCAAAUCAAACCUUUGCCCCGUAAGCCCUACUUGCUUUGCUGGGUUCUUCUGCCAAGGCAGAGGUCUUGGGUUGGGACUCCACACUGAUUCCACAUAUGAUGCUUAUUAAGGCCCAGUUGGAGCCCGUGGCUCUAAACCAAAUGGUGUGGGGAAUUCUGGGAACACAGGGCUGACUUAAGUGUUAAUAGAGGCCGUUCCAGCACCAUCAGCAGCAUUCCAAAGUGGGCGUAUCCAUCAGAAAGUGACAGAGCUGGAGGGUUCCUUGGAGCUGGAAUUAUAUGUUCUACCAAGACUUUUUGUAAGAAGCAGCAUACUCUGGCUUCUACAACAUCAUUAAGAAUUCUUUUGCCUUUUACUUCACUAUUUCAUUGCUGCUUAUAGGAAGAUCUUCUUUUUUUUAUGUUUCUUUUGCAAAAGUGUUUCUCCUUCAUGCAUUUUUGAGGAGUCCUUCCUGUCUGAACCUGGACUUUUGUAGCUGUGAUGUGAUACAGUUCACUGUAAAGAGCGCUGAAGGAAACAAAAAAUUGAUUUGAAUUGAGCUGAGCCAAAUUCUGUGUCAUGGUGUCAUGCCUCUGAAAUUUCCUUUCUGUCUGUGAGCUUGGCAUAUGGUUAAAUUGAACAAUGUCCUUUGAAUAUAUUGUUAAUAUACAGAUGGCUGAUGUCUUAACAAGGUGUUCAGACACAACAAGCCACUGUCCUUCCAAAAUGGUUGAUGUUUUGAUGAUGGUCAUGGAGAGCACUGGAUUACAGAUCAGUCCACAAUCUUCCACAUGUAUUCAGCUGGGUUGAGAUUUGGUAUGGGCAGAGUCAUCCUACAGGAGACCACACCCAUCAAGAGAGAAAUGGUUCACCAUAGGAUAAAGGUGUUGAUUUACAGUGGCACUUCCCUUUAAGAGGACAAGCGGACCCAAACCAUGCCAGCCAAAUACAUUAACAUUUAAAUAAAUUUCCUAUUAGUGAGUUGAAGAGUUAAGGAAUGAGACACUGCUUAAUAUUAUUGGCAUAGAAAAGAUGUUUAAUGUUGUCCGGUCCACAUUUUUAUUCUGUCCUAGCAAACACACCUGGGUCAGGUUAUCAAGGCGUGUUAGGAGGUGGAACAGAAUGAAAAUGUGAACUGGUAAUUUAUCUGACUGCAUUAGGAUCCCAUGUCCCAUGUAAGUAAGCAUACCCAGCUGAGGUAAGACAUGUUAUCUAUCUAUCUAUCUAUCUAUCUAUAUCUAUCUAUAUAUAUAUAUAUAAAAUUACACAUCUAAUAUAUCUUAAGGCUAGGACUGUGAUAUAUAAGACUCAGGUUUCAUUCAUUAAAUGCAAACUUUACUGCCAUUUUCCGACUUCCUGUUUUGUUUUGGGGUUUUUUCAGGUAUUUACAAUCCACAUGGCACCGCCUCUGCAAUCGCUUUUGUUUAAAGUUGCUGACUUAAUUUAUGGAGGGUAAACAGUGACAAAGUGGAGUUCCUGCAAGGUUCAGCUGAAAGAAAACGACAAGGGAUGACAGCAAUCUUCUGGCCUAAAUCUUCAUCUAAACCGCAGUGAUUGACCAGCGUCCCCAUGCCAACGAGCAUCGCAUUAUAGCUGUAAUCCAUUUUUGCAGAUGUAGAGUGGACAUCUGCAGCUGAUGCACUGCGAGACAGACAGAGGUACAGCGUAAUGUCUAAGGAUAUCUGGAUUUCACUGCUCACUUCACAGCGAGACUAAACAAACGUUUACUUCUGGUUUGCUUUGAAAGUGACACACAGUCUAUGCUGACAUUGUUCAGUAGUUUAGGGUCGUUUGAUAGUAAGUCCAAUUUAUCUAGACCUUAAAACCGUAGACUAUGCUUGAGCUUUUGCCCACCAUUCUCUGUAUUAUCAGGCUUCUACUUAUAAUAAAUACAACAGGCAACCAUUUACUGGUCAUGGUCUCUGCAUGGAAGGGAUAGCAGUACUCCCCCUCCUGUCAAUCUGCAUGACACUGACUAAUUUUGUACGUCUCUGAGCUCAUGUAUGUAUGUAAGUAUGUGUAAGAGGGAAGAUUGCACUUUCUUUCAGCUGUGUGCAGUUGCUCUGUGAUGUUCAAAAAGAUAUGGGUGCUGACUUCUUGUAGAUACUGUGGAAGAACAUUGGUUGCUGUGGUGUGAUUGGCAAGAGAUGGCUAGAGGGUGGCAAAUGUCAAAUGGCCAAAUUAGGAGAAAAUGUGGUUUAAAAAAGCAAUCAUGCAUGCCAAUCAGGGCUUAUUUUCAUGGCGUCAUAAUAGAUCAAGUAAUGUCAUUUGCUAUGUAAAUGGAAGCAGAAUUUUUGAUCAUGGGACAUUCUAUGGUUUAAUAUUCUGUCGGAGAAUAUAUCAUUCAUCCAACUUAGUUGUUUAAGCCAUUACUGUCGUAACCAUUUGUGAUUCAGCAAAACAAAAUGUCUUUUCCAAACCAAAACUUAGAAGACUGAGUGCAAAAACAAAACAAAACAAAACAAAAAAAGCCUGCAAAUUGUACUUUUUCAGUUCUAGCAGCUAGGCCAGGGGUGUGGACCCAAGGAUUUGCAUUUUCCCUCCUCUGACACACUGAAUUAAACUCAUUAAGAGCAAGAGCUGUGUCUCAAAUCAUAUAAAACAGAACUACAAACUGAGCAAUAAAAACAUAUAUAAUAUUAUACAUUGUAGAUUAUAGAUUCAGAGCAUUAGACAGUUUUUUUUUUAAUUCUUGCUCAUUACCUUAUCUUGUGUUCUUAAAUUGUUGGAAGAAAUGAAUGUUUCUUAAGUUUCUUUCUUUACUUUUGCACUUUAUCUACAAACAGCUUGUAAUGGAAGUCUUAUUCAUUCAUUCAUCAUCAGAAAGCUCUUUAUCCUGAUAAGGUUAUCAUGAUAAGGAUCCAGAGUCUAUCCUGGGAAUGGGAAUCUGGAUGGGACGCCAGAUCAUCACACAUUCGCACACUCAGGAGCAAUCCACCUUGUUUUCUGGGAGUUGGAGAAAACCGGAGAACCCAGAGGAAAACCACAUGAACAAGGGAAGGAAGAACAUGUUAAAUAUUUGGUCAGUAACUUAAGCUAAGCAUCAAACCAGGGACACUGAAGCUGUGAGGCAACAACGCUACCUUCUGCUGCCCCUGGAAGUCUUAUAUCUCUCAAAAUCUUGUCCACUAAUACACACCCAUAUCUGUACUUAUAUAUUUAACUGCAACUAUAUUAUCAUCUGUAUCACUUCCAGCUUUACAAUGCAGUUCCACCUUUAAAUGUUUGAAGGUUGAGUUUAGUAGGUCCGAUAAUACUAAACUACACUAAGUAAAAAAGUGAUUUGAUUUGGUUGUCCAAGAUGACUGCCAUAAAAUACAAUUGCGGCAUUGAGCUACAGUACACGGUGAAGUCUUGCUCAUGUUUAUACUACUAAAAAACACUCUGUCCUAAACUAUACUGGUAAGUUUGCAUCACUUUCCUCAAAAAUGGGCAUGUGUAUGUAAAAGACUACAUUUGAGGUAAAUUGAAAAUGGUGUAAAUUUGAUCCCCAAUACACGGUUCUAUUAACCCUAUGUUUACACUAGCAAGCAACAAGUCGCUCAUGUCGCAUGUAGUUUGUCUCUUGUGGGCAUGUAGCAACCACUACUGGUGUUGCUUAUGUUUGGUUGUGUUUGUUGUUGUUGUUGUUGCUGUUCCACUGAGGAAACAUAGACACCAAAAUCUAUAGCUUGAUUAAAAAACAUUUGUUUAAAAUGUAUUUAAGUUUGAUUUACAUGUUACAUGCUAGACUUCGUAUAUCGCAGAUAAGCUGUACUAGCUACACACACUCGCCAGAAGCCCCAACGAUCUUUCCUUCGUCCUUCCAAGCUUUAUUUUUCUUUGUAAUGUCUCUAUACACGUUUAACGAUAGGUUGACAGGUAUAUGACAGGAUAAGAAGAAACCACGGUAGUAAGUUUUUCUGAAACGUUUUCCAUACAUCAAAAUUGAAACAAGGAAUAAAGUUCUGAGCGGGGAAAUCAGGAAACAUGUGGCACAGGACUGGUCGCUUUUUGUUUGUUGCUUGCUAGCGUCAACAUAGGCUUAGUCAGCUAGCCGACGUCAAGUGAAUACUGUCACUGCUAUUUGCGGGGGUUUUUUACCGUAAUACAAAAAAAAAAAUUCUGCUUAAUUAUCAUGUACAGACCGCCACAAAAACAUGUUCUAUGUCUAUACUAGUCCGUUAUACAGACUUUUACGUGUUAGGCUAUAUCGUGGUAUAAAAUUACUUUGCGGUAAAUCAAGAACAUAACUCCGCAGUACCCUCACCCUCCGUGACUGGAAUCUGACACUUCUGACCCAGACCUAUAAGAUCAAAGAGCAUUGCGUCUCGCCACUUUUCUCCACAAACAGGACGUAUAGGCUAUUGAACACACCAUGCACCGAGGCUAAGAGAUGCAAAGCAUCUGAGACAUGAACACACUGAGCUGAACCUUAGCUGUAAUAUAAAUAGUCCUAUUCUGUGGUUAAUUUUUUUUUUUUUUUUUAGUACUGUAAUGACUCACACUGCAAGUCUCACAGGCGAGAAGAAACGAUAAUCUAGCAAAUGGAAGUCAAUCUGAUCUGAAUAAUUUAUAACUUUUUAACACAGAUGAGUGACACUGUAAUCUAUAUAUACCUGACAUAUGACACAUAUGAUGUGCAACCAUGUAUUGUUUUGG
ensembl:lncRNA